rnacentral:rRNA from 1 species
AGUCGAGCGGUAGAGAGAAGCUUGCUUCUCUUGAGAGCGGCGGACGGGUGAGUAAUGCCUAGGAAUCUGCCUGGUAGUGGGGGAUAACGUUCGGAAACGGACGCUAAUACCGCAUACGUCCUACGGGAGAAAGCAGGGGACCUUCGGGCCUUGCGCUAUCAGAUGAGCCUAGGUCGGAUUAGCUGGUUGGUGGGGUAAUGGCUCACCAAGGCGACGAUCCGUAACUGGUCUGAGAGGAUGAUCAGUCACACUGGAACUGAGACACGGUCCAGACUCCUACGGGAGGCAGCAGUGGGGAAUAUUGGACAAUGGGCGAAAGCCUGAUCCAGCCAUGCCGCGUGUGUGAAGAAGGUCUUCGGAUUGUAAAGCACUUUAAGUUGGGAGGAAGGGUUGUAGAUUAAUACUCUGCAAUUUUGACGUUACCGACAGAAUAAGCACCGGCUAACUCUGUGCCAGCAGCCGCGGUAAUACAGAGGGUGCAAGCGUUAAUCGGAAUUACUGGGCGUAAAGCGCGCGUAGGUGGUUAGUUAAGUUGGAUGUGAAAUCCCCGGGCUCAACCUGGGAACUGCAUUCAAAACUGACUGACUAGAGUAUGGUAGAGGGUGGUGGAAUUUCCUGUGUAGCGGUGAAAUGCGUAGAUAUAGGAAGGAACACCAGUGGCGAAGGCGACCACCUGGACUGAUACUGACACUGAGGUGCGAAAGCGUGGGGAGCAAACAGGAUUAGAUACCCUGGUAGUCCACGCCGUAAACGAUGUCAACUAGCCGUUGGGAGCCUUGAGCUCUUAGUGGCGCAGCUAACGCAUUAAGUUGACCGCCUGGGGAGUACGGCCGCAAGGUUAAAACUCAA